rnacentral:lncRNA from 1 species
CUCUGUCUCAAACAAACAAACACCAGACAGGGAGACAGAGAGAGCAGGAGGGGAGUGGGAGCUCUGGAAGGCAUCUGAGAGCCAGGCAGGGACACGCCUCUGUGGACACUGGGAGGUUCUGGGACCUUAGCUCCAGACAGGCCGGUUACUUUGUAACCCCCCACUGUGUCCUGCAGCUGAUCCUUCAGGAGAGAAGGGCUAGAGACUGGUGUUCAGGGUCAGUGAGCACAUAAACAGAUGUCCUGGGAGUCAUUUGGGAGAGAAAAAGAGGACAUCCCAGGUUUUUGUGCCCACAGGAAAGACAAUAUCACUCUCACCACAUGAUUGAAAGAGCCAAGUAUGAGAAGAUAAAUGAGGAGACGCUUGGAGAAGUACAGGGGCACCACCAACACUUAAGCCUCCAUCUUCAGGCAAGAAAGUCUGUGAUAUGAAUGAAGGGAUGAGAAAACCAAUGCUCCGAUGAGUGCAGUGACUUCCCAUGCCUGUGGAGAGUCUAUGCCUUUGAUUGGAUCCCCAGAGGUGGUUUUCACUUGCCCCCCAUUGCCUAUACCAUGUUGCCUUCCUGGAGUUGGUGGCCUUUGAGCUGGGCCUGGAAGAUUGGGUAGGACUUUAUGAAGUGGGGAUGGAGAGACAAGCUGUGCGAUGGGGAUGAAGAAGAUAACCCAGGUCAGAGGGAACAGCAUAAGCAAAGGUAUGUGAAGGGGAAAGAAUUCAACACCUCCAGGCAAUGGUGAGGAUGUCGCUGAGUUCUCUUUCACUUAUCUGCAUGUCAGUCAUGACCCCUGGAUGCCAGCUCCUGAUGGGUCAUCUGCCUACCCUAGAACUUCCCAGCAUCUAGCAUCCCAGACCUUCCCAGAGUCUACAAGAAAAGAAACCUAGGCAUCAGGAUGUCAGUUCUGGUCUGAGUCCUGUCCUCUGCUGACUUUACACCAGCACAAUCUAGCAGGGAGACUUAAUGUCUUCUCCUCCCAGCUUCCUGGUACAGUGUAAGAAAGUAAGCUUGCAGAUGCAAAUGCUUGUGGCUCUUCAUUGACCAGAGGCUAUAUUAGGGGAGAGGACUUCCCUGGGACCCCCACAGGGCCUGGAAAACCCCUCUGGCCCUGACUUGCUCCACCCCUUGGCUCUUGACCCAUUUCUCUCUUGGGUAACUCCUGAGUCUCCUCACCAUGUCCAGUUUGGAAGACUUUAGGCACAAGGACCUCGUCUUUUCCUUCAGAUCUUGGCUCAACCAAGAGGCGGACUCACCGUGAUGUGAAUGCAGCUUGAGCAUCCAGGACUCUCCCCAGAUCCAGGGAGGGCCUCAGCGAUGUGUUCACGUUGUCAUAUUUUUAUAAAAUUUGCAAAGGUAAGAUACUUUAACCACAAUCAAAAUUACUAUUUUCUUCCCACUCCAACUUCCCUUGUGUUUCAAUUUUCCUUUAUGUGGGAUAAUUGGAGUGGCCAUGGGCACUUCUGGGAUCUGACCAAGGGGAAGCUGAGUGGGGGACUGAUUUGAGUUGGGUUCACUGGGAUAUGUUUAUGUGGUUUUCUGAAACAGAGGAUAUAUUAAUAUUUAUGUGGUUCUCUGUGUAUAGAUAAAUCAUUGCUAGUAAUCUCUGUGUAGAGAAUAGCUUCUAGGAAUUCUACCCACUGCCCAGCUCACUUGGCAUGGUGAUAUUAAGUUGCCAUAUGCAGAGGUCAUAUCGUGAUAUGAAUGUGUGUCAUGGCACCCAGCCCAGGAAGUAUAUGGGCAGUAGACAAGAAACAGGAGAAACCAGGUUUGAAAUGUACAGAGCCAGAAGCUAGUCUGUGGAAAAUUCUUCUAAUCAUCAGGGGGAGAAAAUGUGUCUCAGAGGUUAAGCAGGGCAGUUAAUAAAAGUAUUACGCAUUUUGGGGGGAUUGUGUGAUGUAUCUGUUUUGAUUUCUUUUCUCAUUAUAGGUAAAUAUAGGUACCUUGUACCUAAUUUUAUAUUCAUAAUUUUGUAUAUUUUUCUUAAAGAGGGCUCCUCAAAUUAUAAAACCUUCAGUUCCCACAAGGUCUACACAUCCAACCUUGGCUCCAUCAUUUAUUUUCUGUGUGAUCUUGGGGAAGUCACUUGUGCUUUCUGAGCCAGUUUCCUCUUCUAUAAAAU